ACACUGUAGGGGACGGCCGCCAUUUCUUUUGUAUGAUUUCUUGGUAACGCGAAGCGGGCUUUUCAACAACUUCCUCUUCGAGAACUGCGUACCUGGCUUCACGCUCCGUAGAGGUUCUACACGACUGGAGAUCCCGUGUCUGACUUGCGGCCGUGGACGAGCUCCUUGUCUGAGUAUUACUUGACCAAGAUGAGCUAUGCUAUUGUGGAGUUCACUGCCUCUAAAGAGGUUGAAAUUGUGCCAACUACUUGGGUCACCGGGAGCGUGUGCGUCUGGCCGCAUAAUGUAAAAGCAGAGAAGGCUGGGAAAAUGGCAAAGAAGCAGCAUCCACCACAGUCAUGGUGGAAGCAGUAUGAAAUUGCUGUGAAAGGUUUGUUCGUUACCUAUGAACAUGCCCGGAAAAAGCUAAAUGACAGUCAGUUCCAUUCAGACCUGGCCAGUGAAACUGAAAUGCCUCCAUUGAAGAGGCGUAGACGGCCACCAGCAGUCUGGAGUGACUCUGACAGUGAAGAGGAGGAGGAAGACUCUGCCACAAGCCAGCCAGGACUGCCACCUAUCCCAAAUAAUUUUCCAUCUGGAAUAACCUCGAGUGAAGCAACAAGUAUGCCCACAUUUGGCCAGGGAGACAAAGGCACAGCAGGUAUUCUCACACAUAUACAGCUGUCUCGUUACAAAAUUACGAUUUACGUGCGUAUUUAUUAUUUUUU